GCUGUGGUGUCCGAGUGGUAAAGGAGUCAGACUCGAAAUCUGAUGGGUAGUAUGCCCGCACAGGUUCGAAUCCUGUCCGCAGCG